CUACUCAAUGUUACAAUAUUUCAGUCAAAAAUAAACUGCUCUUACAAUAUUUCAGUCAAAAAUAAACUGCUCUUACAAUAUUUUAAUAUUAUCAUUACUAAAACAUCCAUCAAUGAUGUUGUCAUAAAAUAAAUUUACAUAGAAAAUUAAAGAAAAGGCAGUAUAAGAAAUUCAAACAUUUUUUUAUUACAUAAAAAAGGUAAUAAAUAUUUUUAAUUAGUGUAAAUUUAGUUAUUUUUGCUAUUAUUUGAGUCUAAAAAGAAUGCAUAUAAUGACAGAACUAUCAAGGUCGAAAAUAAAAUGAUGUCAUUAAUCAUGUUCUUAAUUAUUAUGUUUCUUUUUACAGCAAAUAAUC
rnacentral:lncRNA from 1 species